rnacentral:rRNA from 1 species
UACGAAGGGGGCUAGCGUUGCUCGGAAUGACUGGGCGUAAAGGGCGCGUAGGCGGCUUCGCAAGUCAGGGGUGAAAUCUUUCGGCUCAACCGGAAAAGUGCCCCUGAUACUGCGGAGCUCGAGGGAGGUAGGGGCAGACGGAACUUCCGGUGGAGCGGUGAAAUGCGUUGAUAUCGGAAGGAACGCCGGUGGCGAAAGCGGUCUGCUGGCCCUCUACUGACGCUGAGGCGCGAAAGCCAGGGGAGCAAACGGG